GAUAUUUCCUCACAUUUCCUCACAAACCCUAGAAUUUUUUCUUCACAAACUCUGAAUUUCUCUUCAGUAAUUUGUCCAAUUUCUUCCAAAGUCUGUAGAUUUUAGGGGUUUUUGCAUCAGAGAAGGAAAUUAUGGCGGAUUCUGAAAAAUCCAAUGGACCUGCUGUGAAAGAACCAUCCAUGGAACCAGUGUGUAGUUUCUUCUGAAAACCAUCAUCUAAGAACAAAAAUGUAAGAAACCGAAUGGUGGUGAAGAGGAGGACAAUGGAGAAGAAGGUAAAGGUUCCUCAGUGAUUCAAAAGCCCAAAUUGGCUUCAAAAGCUGAUAAUAAGCUACAUUUUUCAACUGGGACGUCGACGAAACAAAUCAAGUGCGACUAUAAGGAGACUAGGUAUUGUGGGUUUGGGGAUUCUUAUAAGUUUAUGAUGAUGGAGAGAAUGGGAGGAAGCUGAGAAGAUUCCAAAGAGGAAUUUAGCUUUAAAAGCACAUGAUGAUGAUGAUGAGGAUGAGAAAUGUGAGUUAUGAUGAUGAAAAUGCAUUGCCUUUUGUGUAUUUCAUUUGUCUGACAGUCUUUUAUUGAACCUGUCGUUACCAAAUGCAAGCAUUAUUUCUGCGAGCAUACUGCUCUCAAGAUGCACAUAUUGAUGUCUCAGUCCUCUCAACAAGCUGGAAAUCCUAUUCUGGAUGACUGCUAAUUCACUGGGUUGAGGUCCUUUGAUGGUGGAAAGCUUCUCUUGCAACAAAAGCUUCAGCGAUAUUGGAAACAAUGUAUGGUCCAUGUAUGGAGCCAGAAUCCUCUGAAUCUCUGAUGUCGUUCCAAACAGGCGGGUAGAAAGUUGAAAGCAACUUAUGUUGAUAUUAUAGGUCCUAGAGCUGGUCUGGCCUUCCAGACCGCUUAAUUGCCAUCAGACCUUUUCCACCAAAUUGGAACUCGAGGAGCAUAAUGAUGGGAAGUGCAACUCACUGUUACCAGCCAAUGAUGAAAGCAAGGAAAAUGAUGAUCACACAAAAGGGGAAGUAAGCACCAACCGUGAGGAGCAUGCAUGUGAAACAAGCAGAAUUGACGCAUCAAAGAGUGGAAAAUUGGACACUAGUUCUAGAGUGAUAAAAUUUCAAAAGAAGGAAAUGGUUUGUCCCUAUAGCCUGGAGGAGAUUAAAAAAAAAGUUCAUCACCGAUGAUUCCAACAAGGAAUUACUGAAAGGAAUAGGACUCAUUGGUUCAGAUGGGAUUACAUCCCUUGUCCCAUCUCUGUAUCUCCAUGAUCCAGCACUAAUUUUGAAUGUUGCCCAAUGGAAAGAAGCCGAAAAUGGUACUAGGUGUAACAACACUGUGGAGUAAGUAUAGAAAAACAAGACUAUCAGUUGAUAAAAUUCCCACACACUCCGCAAGAAUAAGUGCUGAGAACGGUUUCAAGGAGGAACAGCCAAGAGCCAAGGUAUCAGCUUUAGAAAGUUCAAACAAGAAAGAUCCAGAAUCUUCAGAGAAGAAUACUCCAGCACCUUAGGGUCCCUGCUGUGUAGUGCCUGAACAUUUAUUUUGAAGCCUAUGGUGGGAAAGGUUACUCCAAUUUUAAGGCAGCUCAAGAGUAACUUCUCCGAUAUGGAUGCUGCUCUUCCUGAAGAAACACUCAGGCCAUUAAAGUCUGACCCAUUAAAAAGAUCUGCUUGGCGUGCAUUUAUCAAAUCUGCAGGGUCAGUAUUUAAGUGAAAGUUUGAUCUUUCAUAUGAUUCAAGCAAUAAUCGUAUUCGAAGAAAUUAUCAAGUACUUGAAGAAUAGUUGGUACUACUGGUCAUCACUUUCAGCUGCUGCAAAAAUCUCCACUGUUUCAUACACAGUUGACGCUAACAUGAUUUACCAGAAGAGUCCUCCACCAGAUUCAGAUGCAAGUCUUCCUACAGAUCCCAAACUAAAGAGUAAAGGCUGAGCAAGAAAAGAAAUGAUACCGAGGGUUGAUCUUAGAAACAUAGAAACCAGAUUCAAAUCCAAUCUUGGUUGGUACAGCAGUAUUGCCAACUCUGUAAAUUUGUUCAGUCUCCCUGGCCUCUUGUGCAAGCACAUGAAAAGGUGUACCCUUCCAAGUCCGUGGGCAGUUUCCACUGCUGUUGUCUGCUUGAGUGUGCGUAUAAAGAAGGCAAGUUUGACCCGCUUAUACAGAAGUCUGGAUUAAAAGGCAGAGAUGAAGUAGUCAGUUUCACGUGCAUUUCAGGCGCACACAAGUAACUCAAUGGAAGCUUACCAGAGUGUAGGGGUGCUUGCGGAAGUUGUGAUGCCUACAGAAGGAAUCUACCCUGUUCCUGCGCCAAGUGAACUUACAUGGGUAGUGGAAGUUGUAGCUGAGGUUGCAGUUCCUAGUGCAACAAAACAAGAUAAGUUUCCUGGUGCUGACCGACCAACUAUAUGAAGAAGGUAAGCACCGUGCAAAAGUUUCUGGAUGAGGAAUUUGAAGACGUUUGAGGCUUCAGUAUACCGAAAACGCAAGCAUCGUUGUAUAGAGACUUGGUUGAAUUAUGGACACAUUACUGCAAACCAAGUUCUUACAGAUUUAUAUUAUUCCCUAGUAGUCGUUGUCUCUGAAAUGAUGAGUUCGAUUGUGGAUAUGAAUCGCUACUCUCUUGAGGAGGUUUCUUCGGAAGUGAUUGAUGAUUGGAAGAAGAAUAUGAAAGUAGCCGAGAAACUUGAAUUCAACGUCGUCUGGUUGCUCCUGGGCGCUUGGAAGAUAUUAAGAAAUAUUUUGCAGAGGAGAAGAAGCUUCAGAACACAUUAAUGGAACAGGUUCAGGCAAAGGCACUGAGUAAUUGAGGCUGAGCAGCAGUUGGUCUUGGCAAAAUAGGGACUUUCCGCCCUGGAAACUAAGAUUUGUACCCUACUGAAGGAGAAAGAAGAAUGCAGUGGUCCUAUGCUGCUUUUUAAUUGCGGCGGGAACUUGUCACCUGUCACGGCUCCAGUGCAAAAGGAUGCAAUUCUGAUUGAAGAGCCUAUGGAUAACAACCCAAAUAUGGUGCCUUGUACAAGAAUUAUAAGAAUAACACGCUUAAUUUCUAGCUUCAACAUGUAGUCUUGUUGUACGCUUAAUUAUAAGCUGUGGCCUAUAUCUUUGAGUAGGAAAUCGUUCUUGAAAGCUGGUGCGGCUAGCUUUAACUGAAUCUGAAAAUAUCAUUUAGGUAGCUUUUCUUGUACUUGUUUUUCCAUGCCAUGUAUGCUACGGACAGAUUGAACUCAGAAGUGUAAUAUGAAAAUCCAAUAGCUAGUGGCCUUUACGAGUCAUUCUGUUAACCUUGGGUUUUCAUCUAGUUAAAGAUUUCUCAA